rnacentral:lncRNA from 1 species
UAAUAACAUGUGAGGUUAAUGUGAGGAAUAAAUAAGAAUCCAGGAAAGCAAUUGGCCCAUCAUGUAAGAGCUACUUUGCCCAUAACCCUAGGGUGCCUUCCCUCCAAACACAAAGCUGUGCACAGAGCAGGUACACAGUGAAGAUCUGCUGUUGUAUAAACCCAUUUUCCAUAACACAGAACUUAUUUAAACUGGAGCCUAGAACAGUGUUUUUCACAAAAGAUUUUGCUUAUAGCAACCCGUGCUUUAGAAUAGAAUAUUGUAAAGACUUCCAGAUCAGUUAGAUUUGAGUUUCUCAAGUCGUGACUGUGGACUCCAGAGAAACAGUAACAGGAAUUCCAUCAGACAAGGUUCACAAAGUGAAAGGCAUUGGGAAAUGAUACAGAAUCUUCUCGCAGUGGAGGAUGCAUCAUGCACAGGAGAAGCUCUAAGAAGUCCUAUCGAGAAAACAGGUGUUGAACCUGGGUUUGCUGAACUUAUUUCACCAAAGACCCCAUCCAUUAACAUCUGC